GCCGAAGUGGUGGAAUUGGCAGACACGCUAGCUUGAGGGGUUAGUUCCCGCAAGGGAUUGGGGGUUCGAGUCCCCCCUUCGGCA
rnacentral:tRNA from 2 species